UGGAUUUACAAAUCUCUGCACUUCACUCUUAUUAGAAGCAGACCGCAACAUCAAAGAAAACCCAGAGUUAUUAUUUAAAUUAUUAGCUAUUAAUUACAUUUCAUUCUUAAAGAACUGUUACAUUUUAAUCUUUUUAUUCUUGAAUUUUAAGUUUUGGUGCUAGUCUUCUUGAUAUUCUUUCCAACUAGGUCCCCGAAGAAAAAGCUGAACAGUAACAGAUAACUGUUUCCUGAUUUCCUGUCCACAAAAGCCAACGGUAGCUUAGAUGACUGUAAAUGUCCUACAGGGCCCUCUGUUGGACAAGACACAUUACUGCGCAAACCUUUUGGGAAGUAUCAGUGUUUAUGAUGUAUUUGGUUUGCAAUAAAGUACAGUGACUCAUGCAGUUUUAGUAUUAGUGCUGUAGCUACACUGUUAUAUUGGCAAAAAGCAUCUUUCUGAGACUGGUCAUCUUUGUAGGUCUGAUUCUUGUCUGAAUUCAGUGAGGAGUGCUCUGUAAGUUUGGGGUGGGGUCUCUUUUUGCCCAAACUUGAAAAGACAUUCUGAAGCUCUUACAGUAGUAAGAAGCUUUGUCAUUACUCAGAUUUCCUUCGCAAUGGUUUGGACCACAGAGGCACCAGCAUUUUACCUCUCAUGGAACCAAACUUCAUCUGUACCCAUUUUGUCUGUAACACAAUGGAUCAAUUAUAUGCUAUAUUGCAUAUGUGCUAUUAUUAUCAUGGUGUUUUUGUUUUAUUGCUUUCAUGGAUUCUCUAAGAGAUGCAGGCAAAACUGUAAAACAGGUGAAGUCACACUGGAGGCGGGCAACAACAGUGGACCAGAAAACAUAAAGGCAAGUAAAGUAGAGUAAUAGCAAAAAGAGGGCUUUAUCUUCAAAGAUACUCAUAUGAGUAAGAUUCUGUAGAACUGAGCGGUUCUCUUGUGUUUAGGAUGAGCGCCACUCAUCGUCAGCAGAACAAGAAAACACCAGUGUCAGGAUGAGCUCUGUCUACCAGAGCCUGAUCCCCUCUGCUACUGAGA